rnacentral:lncRNA from 1 species
GUGGCUGCUCUGUGUGGGAGUGGGUGCCGGCGGUGUGUGGGGAUGAGUGUGGGUGGGUGUGCGCCUGGGCCUCAGCCGGGCCCUGCCGGGAUGUCUCUGUGCCAAUGUGCUGCCGAGUGUCCCACCAUAGCCUGAACUGGUCUGUGCUAGGCCGCCCUGUCUGCGCAUGUGUCCGUCUGUCUGUCCCAUCCAUCUGGGGAGGUUGGCCUACAUGCACGUCCUCUGCAUGGUAGGGCACCUUGGUGUCCCGUGGAGCAUCUCUGAGCGCGCGUGCAAGGGUGUGUCUGGACCGCAGCUCUCCGCCGUGGCGUGUCAGUGUGUGCCCUCUCUGUCCGUCUGUCCGAAGACUUAAAUUUGCAUCUCUCGCCUCUGUCUUUUGGAGUCGGAGGGCUUGCCAGCGUGGGUGCGCCAGCCUUUCUAACUACCUGUGCGCCUGUCAGCAGCUGCCAGCCUGUGCACGCGUGGCGUGUGUCCGAUCGCCUCUGGGGUAGCCUGUCACCAGUGUGUUUGCCCACUUGUGUCUGAUGUGACCUUCCCUGGGUCUGUCUCGCCCGCGUGUUUCUGACCUGUCACACUUGUGCAGGUGUGAGUGUGAGCAUGCCACCAAGUCUGUCCCCCUGAGGCCUGUGGGGGCGACAUCUUCCUGCCUGUGUAUUUGUCCAAGUGUCUCUCUGGCUUGGGUGCCAAUUCGGUGUCCCUUAAUCACGUACACACACCGAAAAACUGACCACACCGGUGUGCCCCGCGCCUGCAGGUCGCAGCUCUGUCGCUGUGUCUGUGUGUCAGCUGUCACUGGGUCAUCCUGCCCAGAUGUGUGUCUUAUCCUGUCAGUGUGUCCCUGGCUGGCAGUCUGUGGCCCGGGUGACAAGGGCUUUGUGUGUCUGGGCUGGACUGCUCCAACACCCCCGCCCUGCCCCCCCCCCAGUCUGGCCACCCUGAGCCAUGUUUACUCUGCCCCCAGCCGAUGUCUGCCCUGCCCCGGGGAGGGGUGACCCUCCCAUCUGUCCAGCUGGCAGUCCACAGGAUGUUCCCGAGACGCCGGCUCCGGCUACCAUCCCCUCCCUCAGGCCACCCGCAGCCCGGGAGCGGGGCCACUUUCAGGUGGGGAAACUGAGACCCGAGGAGCCAGGAGGGCCGAGCUGGCAUCUGAGCCCAAGCGCCUGUCUGCUACGCCAGACCCCCAACCCAGCUCAUCGGUGGGGCGCCUUCCCCCAUCAUGCAUGCGGGGUGGGGGGUGGAGGAGGAACCCAAGCCCCCCCCCUGAGAUCAAGAGGGGCAACCAACUCUACUCUGAGUCAAAAGGGGCCCCUGGAUGAAAUGAAUAAGAAAACGGCUUUAACCGUUUCAUGGCCACGA